GUCCGGUCAUUGUUCUCGCGCCGGUAGGCGCAGGGGUCGCGGCCGCUUGCCUUCUGCUCCAGAGCCCGCGAGCUCCGGCCGGGCUUCUUCUCCGCGCAUGUAGACAUUACUCAUCCUGGCCCCGGGAAGAAACUCAAGAAGAAGCUUUUGAGACUUAAAGAUUAGAUGGGGCUUGACUUCUGCUGGGCAGCCCCCAGCUAUAGGAGUUACCCUCCUGAGCAGAGAGGAUGACUACAGAAUUGAGAGAGGCCAUGACCCUGGCCCCUUGGGGCCCAGUGACAGUGAAAAAGGAAGAGGAAGAGGAGGAAACCUUUGUGGGUCAGGCAUCCAGCCAACAAGUGCAUUCUGAAAACAUCAAAGUCUGGGCUCCUGGGGAGUGUCCUCAGACAGGCCUCGAUGUAUCAGAACAGGAGGAAAAGGGUCAGAACUUGUUCUGGGACAUGGCUGUCAUCCUGAAACCAACACAGGAGGCGUCUGCUGCAUCAACCCCUGGCAGUUCCUCAUUACCAGAGACUCUGGCCAAGAGGGAGCUACUGGAGACUCAUGGGAGCAUGACCUGUCUAGGUGCUGAAACCAAGAACCCACAGUUACUCGUUCCAAAAACUGAGAUAUGUGAUGAAGCAGAAAAACCUUUCAUAAUAUCAGGAAGAAUCCAGAAAGUUGACCCUCCAGGACCUGAAUUAGGAGAAGGCUGUGAAAAAGGGAACAUGUUAAAAAGGCAGAGAAUAAAGACGGAAAAGAAAGAUUUCAGACAAGUGACAGUGAAGGACUGUCACAUACCUGGAAACUUCAAAGAAGAGGAAGACCAGAAGUGUCACAAAUCUGAGGAGAGAUAUAGCCUUGGUUCUGGCUCUGUUAAAAAUCAGAAAAGCCAGGCUGGGCAGAAACCUUUUACAUGUAGCGUGUGUGGGAAAGGUUUUAGUCAGAGCGCAAACCUUGUAGUGCAUCAGCGAAUCCACACUGGAGAGAAACCCUUCGAAUGUCAUGAGUGUGGGAAGGCCUUCAUUCAGAGCGCAAACCUUGUUGUGCAUCAGCGAAUCCACACUGGACAGAAACCGUAUGUUUGUUCAAAGUGUGGGAAAGCCUUCACUCAGAGUUCAAAUCUGACUGUACAUCAAAAAAUCCACUCGUUAGAGAAAACCUUUAAGUGCAGUGAAUGCGAGAAAGCCUUCAGUUACAGCUCACAACUUGCCCGGCACCAGAAAGUCCACAUUACAGAAAAAUGCUAUGAAUGUAACGAGUGUGGGAAAACAUUUACUCGAAGCUCAAACCUCAUUGUCCACCAGAGGAUCCACACCGGGGAGAAACCCUUUGCCUGUAAUGACUGCGGCAAAGCCUUCACACAGAGCGCAAAUCUUAUCGUGCAUCAGCGAAGCCAUACUGGUGAGAAGCCAUACGAGUGCAAAGAGUGUGGAAAAGCCUUUAGUUGUUUUUCACACCUUAUCGUGCACCAGCGAAUCCACACCGCGGAGAAACCUUACGACUGCAGCGAGUGCGGGAAGGCCUUCAGUCAGCUCUCUUGCCUUAUCGUGCACCAGAGGAUUCACAGCGGGGACCUUCCGUAUGUGUGUAAUGAGUGCGGGAAGGCCUUCACCUGCAGCUCGUACCUGCUGAUUCAUCAGAGGAUCCAUAAUGGGGAGAAGCCGUACACAUGCAGCGAGUGUGGCAAGGCCUUCCGGCAGAGGUCGAGCCUCACCGUGCACCAGAGAACCCACACCGGGGAGAAGCCCUACGAGUGUGCCAAGUGCGGUGCGGCUUUCAUCUCCAACUCACACCUCAUGCGCCACCACAGAACCCAUCUCGUUGAGAGCACAUAGAGGGACGAGGGAGACCUCCAGGCGCCAAUCAGAACCUCCCGCCCCCGCCCCCCCCAAGUCAGACACCUCUUGGCUGUUUUCUCCUCCUUGGUGAAAACGAGGCCUGCUCUGUCCUUAAAAGUAAUAGUUUUCAGGAGUGCAGCGCAAAACACAAGAGGGGCAUUUCAGAGGCUAAUUUAAAGAAAAUGAAAACGAAGGCCUCAAGGCAAGGAUUUUGUUUUUCACUUGGUGCCCCAAGUGUCAUGGUGUCUGAAGUGGAAUGUGGCUUUCUUAGAAAUGGAUCAUACAGAGCUCAGUGAUAAAGAUCCCUUUGGGGGAAAGGCAUUUUUCACUUAACUUUGUUUUUGAAAACUCUGGUAAUUUCUUGGGCAACGGGCAGGUUACUGGUGGAGGUCUGCCUGAUGGAAUUCCGGAGCUUUGAACCUUGUAUUCUAAUAUUUUGGGUUAAGCAGCGACUCAUUAAGGAAACCACUUGGGGUAGCAGUUCACCAACAACUCACCUAUGAACAUUUAUAGGUUUUCCAUUCCCUAGGUAAUUAAAAAAAACAAAAACACCCUACUAACCAUCUUUUGCUCCUAACAUGGAUGGAAGUAGGAAACAUUCGUUUCCCUCAUCAUCUGUACCUCAUGAACGUUGGUGUGGUAAAGCUCUGGGGACCUCUGACGAGAGUCUCUUCUGACCGUUUCCCAGCCUGCAUGGCCAAGCAAUUGAAGACUGAUGGAGACAGCCACAGACGCUGCUGGGCUGUGUCCCUUUGCUAAGGUCAACAGCUCUUCCCAUAACUUAACCCCAGUUGCCAUUGCAUUCCGUUUGAGUGAGACGCUGCUAGCAGCCCCCUUCCCAGAUAGAGGCAUCAGAGAAUAAAGCUUCCCUGGAGGUAUGCCCGCUUUGUCUCUGCUCUCAUUCUGCUCAGGCCCAAGCAGGGGGCUCAGUUGGGUGUCAUUGUCACUUUCUGGAUGGUCUUUAGAAGAAAUAAUGGAGCCCUUCUAAUUCUGAGAGGAGCCAAGAGGGAAAUGAAAAGAGAGGGAGGAAGCAGAGUGGGAUUCCUAAGGUCUUCAUUUGUUUUUUUUAGAAGUUCAAAGGUAUUGGAAUAUGCAAACUUUUAGAAGGAUGAAGAAACUGGCUAAGGUCUGGGUUUCCACCAAUCUGCACCCAGGUUCAGGACCCCCGAUCCUACACAAAUCCUGUGAGCCUAGUAGGUUACUAGACAGAUCAGUUCCUUCCCCAACUCAUAAAAACUUACCCUCCCAAUUAAAUUCCAGCCCUCAAAAUAAAUUACCUCCCACUUUUUUCUACAGGGUUUCUGAUAGGAGAGGAGUGACUACCCUUUGUUGUCAGACUUGGCUUAGGUUUUCCUUUUCCUUGGGGUCAUCUCCCUUCUUUCUGGGCUGGUCUUGCCAGAAGUAGAUGGGAACUCUGAAGCCCCAUUUUCUUAAGUUGCCAAGAGCUAUCAGUCUUAUAGAUCUCAGAGUCAGACCUAGUGAUGAGCAUUAAGGGUAGAGCCAAGAAGUCUGUUUUUACCCUCAAAUGAGACCAACAGAUGUAUGUUACGUGGAGCACAGGGAUGAGAAAGUGAAAUCACGUAUAGGUGCUUUGGAGGCUCGGUGGGGAGAGAUUCUUCAUCAGCAUGCGUACACACACACCCCUCUCAAACAUAAUUGGCUGUGAAUUCCUCCAGGCUCAGGAAGCUAGUCCUUUUUCUAUGCUCUGGAUCCCCUCCCUCCCCUAGGUGGUCAUCCCUCUCCCACUUCUGUCACUUCUCCCGUUGUGUGCCUAACUUUUCUGGGGUCACAGCCCCUUUGAGAAUCUGAUGGAGGUUGUGGACCCUCUUCAGGAGAAACUCGGAUUGCACUCUCAGUUCUGUGCUUAUUUGUGGAGGCAUAUAAAUUCCCUGAGGCCAAUCCGUGGAGCCUCCAGGGCCUCAAGUCACACCUGGGGAUGCACUACAUAAUUGCCCUCACAUGCUACAAAAUGGUGGCUUUUUAAAAAAUGAGGUCAGAUUAUGGAAUCUCUGAGGAUGUUGCCCAGAUACAUAACCUUUUCAGUCUUACUUCUCCUGGCUUCCCUCCCUCAGCAAAUGGCAUUAUCCAGCACCCAGACUGGAAACCCAGGAGGCAUUUCUGGCUUCCGAUGUAUCAUGCGUUGAUUACAAAAAUAUUUAUUAUGCACUCUCUUUGUGGCAAACAUGGUGCUAGGUCCUGGGUUGCCAAAGCAAACAAGGCCUACCAUACCCCCUUUUCAUGUCUCUCAUGGGAAAGAUGUCUGGAUCCCCCAACAUGAUUUACUGAGCUCUUCCCAGCCUCAUCGCUUCACUUCACACGCACCUUUACUGCAGCCUGGAGGCACAUGCUUGCUCUUCUCGUGCCUUUGCUCACACUGUCCUCGGUGCCUGUGAUACCUCACCACCACACCCCACAGCCCCUGUCUGCUUUGCCUAACAUUUGGUUUCUUUUAAGAUUUGGCUCAGGCCCAUCUCUGGGAAACCUCUGACUGCCCUAUGGCCAAGAAGUCUAUUUAGAAGUAUUGAAGAGCAUGAUAUUUGUAUCCAGAGUUUUACUUUAUGCUUUAAAGUGAAAAAAGUCUGGAUUCGAAAUUGUGUAUAUAGUACAGUUCUCACAUAAUGUUAUGUACACUGUAUACUAUGAGAAAGUAUAUAGAUAAACAUGAAGGAAAUAUAAGAAAAUGUUAUAAAUGGUUGACUUGUUCAGAGCCAUACAAAUGGUAAAUUGCAGAGCCUGGGCUCAAACCCAGGUCCUAGGGAUAAUGGAAUUAUGGGUGAUUAGAAGUUUUUUUAAAAGUAAUUUCCAUAUUUUUUAUAAGGAACAAAAAUUUUAUAAUCAGGAAAAAUAAAUUAUUUAUUGUAACUACAAAUUUAGUUUUAUUGUAUUAACUGUAAACAGUAUCUCAAUUCUCCAUUUUGUAGAAUGGGGGAUGCACCCUGCUUCUGUCUCCUCCCCUUGUCCACCUCUCUGCCUCUGACAAUGUCAAGUCUGCUAAUUCUUGAAUUCUGUUCUGAAACCAUAGUCUUUUAUGCUUUGUUUAUUGAUUUGUUCUGAAAAUUGAAAUAAACAGCAUGAAUGUUAUUA